GGUGCAAACAACUGUCAGCUCCUUUUAAAUGUAUUAGCAGAGCAGUGUUGGGACUGGCUUCAGUUUGAUAAGAAGUUAUCUAUGCUGUCGCUGGGUUUUCCUCUUUGUGCUUAGCUUCAAACUGUCUAUGGACUGUCCCUCAAGGCAACAAAAUUUUAUUGAUCGACCUCAAAUCAGGUAGGACUACCCGCUGAACUUAA
rnacentral:misc_RNA from 1 species